rnacentral:rRNA from 1 species
UACGUAGGGUGCAAGCGUUGUCCGGAAUUAUUGGGCGUAAAGAGCUCGUAGGCGGUCUGUCGCGUCUGCUGUGAAAACUCAGGGCUUAACCCUGAGCUUGCAGUGGGUACGGGCAGACUAGAGUGCGGUAGGGGAGACUGGAAUUCCUGGUGUAGCGGUGAAAUGCGCAGAUAUCAGGAGGAACACCGAUGGCGAAGGCAGGUCUCUGGGCAUUAACUGACGCUGGAGGAGCGGAAAGCAUGGGGAGCGAACAGGA